UACGUAGGGGGCAAGCGUUAUCCGGAUUUACUGGGCGUAAAGCGGGUGUAGGCGGCCUGUCAAGUCAGAUGUGAAAUCUCCUGGCUCAACUAGGAGGGUGCAUUUGAUACUGAUGGGCUAGAGUGCAGCAGAAGAAGAUGGAAUUCCCGGUGUAGUGGUGAAAUGCGUAGAUAUCGGGAAGAACACUAGUGGCGAAGGCGGUCUUCCGGGCUGUAACUGACGCUGAGACCCGAAGGCGUGGGGAGCAAACAGG
rnacentral:rRNA from 1 species